rnacentral:rRNA from 1 species
CUGGCUCAGGAUGAACGCUAGCGGCAGGCUUAACACAUGCAAGUCGAGGGGUAACGUGAGUGCUUGCACUUGACGACGACCGGCGCACGGGUGCGUAACGCGUAUAGAACCUACCUUAUAGUAAGGGAUAGCCCAGAGAAAUUUGGAUUAAUACCUUAUAGUAUGAUAAGAUGGCAUCAUUUAAUCAUUAAAGAUUUAUUGCUAUAAGAUGGCUAUGCGUUCUAUUAGCUAGUUGGUAAGGUAACGGCAUACCAAGGCAACGAUAGAUAGGGGUCCUGAGAGGGAGAUCCCCCACACUGGUACUGAGACACGGACCAGACUCCUACGGGAGGCAGCAGUGAGGAAUAUUGGACAAUGGAGGCAACUCUGAUCCAGCCAUGCCGCGUGUAGGAAGACUGCCCUAUGGGUUGUAAACUACUUUUAUAGAGGAAGAAACAGUUCCACGUGUGGAACUCUGACGGUACUCUACGAAUAAGGAUCGGCUAACUCCGUGCCAGCAGCCGCGGUAAUACGGAGGAUCCAAGCGUUAUCCGGAAUCAUUGGGUUUAAAGGGUCCGUAGGCGGGUCUGUAAGUCAGUGGUGAAAGUUUUCGGCUCAACCGGAAAAUUGCCAUUGAUACUGCAGGUCUUGAAUCAUUAUGAAGUGGUUAGAAUAAGUAGUGUAGCGGUGAAAUGCAUAGAUAUUACUUAGAAUACCGAUUGCGAAGGCAGAUCACUAAUAAUGUAUUGACGCUAAGGGACGAAAGCGUGGGUAGCGAACAGGAUUAGAUACCCUGGUAGUCCACGCCGUAAACGAUGGUUACUAGCUGUUCGGACUUCGGUCUGAGUGGCUAAGCGAAAGUGAUAAGU